rnacentral:rRNA from 1 species
UACGGGGGGAGCAAGCGUUGUUCGGAUUUACUGGGCGUAAAGGGUUUGUAGGUGGCUCGCUAAGUCAGACGUGAAAUCCCUCAGCUUAACUGGGGAACUGCGUCUGAGACUGGCGAGCUUGAGUGCAGGAGAGGAACGCGGAAUUCCAGGUGUAGCGGUGAAAUGCGUAGAUAUCUGGAGGAACACCGGUGGCGAAGGCGGCGUUCUGGACUGCAACUGACACUGAGAAACGAAAGCCAGGGGAGCAAACGGG